ensembl:lncRNA
UUCACAUUACAUUCUAUAUUACAUACAAAGUCAUUUACUUCAGAUGUCAAGGCAGAGCUGUCUACUGUAUGGGAAAUAGCAAAUUAAUACAUAGAUUUGUUUGCAUUAUUAAUACAUUAAUAAUCUUAGUUUAUUUGAUCAAGUAUUCUAAUGCUGGGUAUUGUUAACACCAUCAACAACAAUAAUGCUUUUAUUUAUUUAUGUAGCAUGUUUGUGUAAAAUCUUGUAUUUACAUAAACAUUUACAUAAAAUAUUCAUGAUCUUUCAUUAUGACUGAGGAUAAAGAGAAACUGCUUUCCUGCAUCUAUUUUUCAAUCAAAUUUCAUUUAUAUUGCGCUUUUUACAACACAUGUUCACAGAAGGAUAGAGCCAGAAGGUUCUGAGAUAUGAGCCUUUGAGUGAUGUUGAUGCGAUAAUUAUGGUCAGGGUUUAUGAGUCGAGUAGGACCAGCCAAUCAGAGCCUUGGAAGCAAACCCCAACGCAUCAGUCCUGCUGGACCCCAUCAGCGCACUGGUGGCCUUUAUCAGACUGCCUCCAUCAGCAGAGUGGAGCUCCAGACCUGCACCCAGACAUCCACUGCACCACCGGGUUGACCUCCUGUCCCGGUGACCCAGAUGAGCAGGUGUGUCAGUGCAGACCUGGGAGUGCUGACCUGCUCACAGGCCGUGUGUGCCACUUUAACGCAGAAGUGUCAGAGAUUCUUCCAGUGAUCCCUACAGUACUGACUAGAUUCUCUUCAGCCAUGCCAUCCUAUAGCAUGUGUCCCUGGGUCCUGCUGUUAUCUGUGCUUAAGGUCAUAACCGUGCCUGUAUUGACCUAUUCAGUAAAGGUGAAUCUUCAUGACAAUGCUACUCUCCCCUGCACUCGGACGUGUUCUGGUCUGGUCACAUGGACUGUGUCCCAUAAACAACAUGACAUUCUGGCUCAGUGUGACCGGAUAUCCUGUCAGUCAAAG